rnacentral:rRNA from 1 species
UUUGGUUGCGAUAGCGAAGAGGUCACACCCGUUCCCAUACCGAACACGGAAGUUAAGCUCUUCAGCGCCGAUGGUAGUCGGGGGUUUCCCCCUGUGAGAGUAGGACGCCGCCAAGC